AUGCUCUCUUCAGCAGCACGUAUACUAAAAUUGGAAUGAUAAAGAGGAGAUUAGCAUGGCCCCUGCACAAGGAUGACAUGCAAAUUCAUGAAACGUUUCAUAUUUUU
rnacentral:snRNA from 1 species